rnacentral:rRNA from 1 species
CCUACGGGGUGCUGCAGUGGGGAAUAUUGGACAAUGGGCGAAAGCCUGAUCCAGCCAUGCCGCGUGUGUGAAGAAGGCCUUCGGGUUGUAAAGCACUUUCAGUGGGGAAGAAAGCCUUGGGGCUAAUACCCUCGAGGAAGGACAUCACCCACAGAAGAAGCACCGGCUAACUCCGCGCCAGCAGCCGCGGUAAUACGGAGGGUGCGAGCGUUAAUCGGAAUUACUGGGCGUAAAGCGCGCGUAGGCGGUCUGAUAAGCCGGUUGUGAAAGCCCCGGGCUCAACCUGGGAACGGCAUCCGGAACUGUCAGGCUAGAGUGCAGGAGAGGAAGGUAGAAUUCCCGGUGUAGCGGUGAAAUGCGUAGAGAUCGGGAGGAAUACCAGUGGCGAAGGCGGCCUUCUGGACUGACACUGACGCUGAGGUGCGAAAGCGUGGGUAGCAAACAGGAUUAGAUACCCGAGUAGUC